AUCUGUAGUUUAUAAAAAACAUAUUACUUACACUAAUAAAAAAGAUUUUUGGUCUCAGAUUUA
rnacentral:tRNA from 1 species